GCUGUCUGUUGCCACCACCGAGAGGUGGGGACUCAGGCGGAACUGCCGGUGACAAACCGGAGGAAGGUGGGGACGGACGUCAAGUCAUCAUGGCCCUUAUGUCCUGGGCUACACACGUGCUACAAUGGCCGGUACAGAGCGCAGCGAGGCCGCGAGGCGGAGCGAAUCGCUUAAAGCCGGUCCCAGUACGGAUUGGAGUCUGCAACCCGACUCCAUGAAGUUGGAAUCGCUAGUAAUCGCGCAUCAGCAUGGCGCGGUGAAUACGUUCCCGGGCCUU
rnacentral:rRNA from 1 species